GGGUUGUGAGGUUAAGCGACUAAGCGUACACGGUGGAUGCCCUGGCAGUCAGAGGCGAUGAAGGACGUGCUAAUCUGCGAUAAGCGUCGGUGAGGUGAUAUGAACCGUUAUAACCGGCGAUUUCCGAAUGGGGAAACCCAGUGUGAUUCGUCACACUAUCAUUAACUGAAUCCAUAGGUUAAUGAGGCGAACCGGGGGAACUGAAACAUCUAAGUACCCCGAGGAAAAGAAAUCAACCGAGAUUCCCCCAGUAGCGGCGAGCGAACGGGGAGGAGCCCAGAGCCUGAAUCAGUGUGUGUGUUAGUGGAAGCGUCUGGAAAGGCGCGCGAUACAGGGUGACAGCCCCGUACACAAAAAUGCACAUACUGUGAGCUCGAUGAGUAGGGCGGGACACGUGGUAUCCUGUCUGAAUAUGGGGGGACCAUCCUCCAAGGCUAAAUACUCCUGACUGACCGAUAGUGAACCAGUACCGUGAGGGAAAGGCGAAAAGAACCCCGGCGAGGGGAGUGAAAAAGAACCUGAAACCGUGUACGUACAAGCAGUGGGAGCCUCUUAAUGGGGUGACUGCGUACCUUUUGUAUAAUGGGUCAGCGACUUAUAUUCUGUAGCAAGGUUAACCGAAUAGGGGAGCCGAAGGGAAACCGAGUCUUAACUGGGCGUUAAGUUGCAGGGUAUAGACCCGAAACCCGGUGAUCUAGCCAUGGGCAGGUUGAAGGUUGGGUAACACUAACUGGAGGACCGAACCGACUAAUGUUGAAAAAUUAGCGGAUGACUUGUGGCUGGGGGUGAAAGGCCAAUCAAACCGGGAGAUAGCUGGUUCUCCCCGAAAGCUAUUUAGGUAGCGCCUCGUGAAUUCAUCUCCGGGGGUAGAGCACUGUUUCGGCAAGGGGGUCAUCCCGACUUACCAACCCGAUGCAAACUGCGAAUACCGGAGAAUGUUAUCACGGGAGACACACGGCGGGUGCUAACGUCCGUCGUGAAGAGGGAAACAACCCAGACCGCCAGCUAAGGUCCCAAAGUCAUGGUUAAGUGGGAAACGAUGUGGGAAGGCCCAGACAGCCAGGAUGUUGGCUUAGAAGCAGCCAUCAUUUAAAGAAAGCGUAAUAGCUCACUGGUCGAGUCGGCCUGCGCGGAAGAUGUAACGGGGCUAAACCAUGCACCGAAGCUGCGGCAGCGACACUAUGUGUUGUUGGGUAGGGGAGCGUUCUGUAAGCCUGUGAAGGUGUACUGUGAGGUAUGCUGGAGGUAUCAGAAGUGCGAAUGCUGACAUAAGUAACGAUAAAGCGGGUGAAAAGCCCGCUCGCCGGAAGACCAAGGGUUCCUGUCCAACGUUAAUCGGGGCAGGGUGAGUCGACCCCUAAGGCGAGGCCGAAAGGCGUAGUCGAUGGGAAACAGGUUAAUAUUCCUGUACUUGGUGUUACUGCGAAGGGGGGACGGAGAAGGCUAUGUUGGCCGGGCGACGGUUGUCCCGGUUUAAGCGUGUAGGCUGGUUUUCCAGGCAAAUCCGGAAAAUCAAGGCUGAGGCGUGAUGACGAGGCACUACGGUGCUGAAGCAACAAAUGCCCUGCUUCCAGGAAAAGCCUCUAAGCAUCAGGUAACAUCAAAUCGUACCCCAAACCGACACAGGUGGUCAGGUAGAGAAUACCAAGGCGCUUGAGAGAACUCGGGUGAAGGAACUAGGCAAAAUGGUGCCGUAACUUCGGGAGAAGGCACGCUGAUAUGUAGGUGAAGCGACUUGCUCGUGGAGCUGAAAUCAGUCGAAGAUACCAGCUGGCUGCAACUGUUUAUUAAAAACACAGCACUGUGCAAACACGAAAGUGGACGUAUACGGUGUGACGCCUGCCCGGUGCCGGAAGGUUAAUUGAUGGGGUUAGCGGUAACGCGAAGCUCUUGAUCGAAGCCCCGGUAAACGGCGGCCGUAACUAUAACGGUCCUAAGGUAGCGAAAUUCCUUGUCGGGUAAGUUCCGACCUGCACGAAUGGCGUAAUGAUGGCCAGGCUGUCUCCACCCGAGACUCAGUGAAAUUGAACUCGCUGUGAAGAUGCAGUGUACCCGCGGCAAGACGGAAAGACCCCGUGAACCUUUACUAUAGCUUGACACUGAACAUUGAGCCUUGAUGUGUAGGAUAGGUGGGAGGCUUUGAAGUGUGGACGCCAGUCUGCAUGGAGCCGGCCUUGAAAUACCACCCUUUAAUGUUUGAUGUUCUAACGUUGGCCCCUGAUCGGGGUUGCGGACAGUGUCUGGUGGGUAGUUUGACUGGGGCGGUCUCCUCCUAAAGAGUAACGGAGGAGCACGAAGGUUGGCUAAUCCUGGUCGGACAUCAGGAGGUUAGUGCAAUGGCAUAAGCCAGCUUGACUGCGAGCGUGACGGCGCGAGCAGGUGCGAAAGCAGGUCAUAGUGAUCCGGUGGUUCUGAAUGGAAGGGCCAUCGCUCAACGGAUAAAAGGUACUCCGGGGAUAACAGGCUGAUACCGCCCAAGAGUUCAUAUCGACGGCGGUGUUUGGCACCUCGAUGUCGGCUCAUCACAUCCUGGGGCUGAAGUAGGUCCCAAGGGUAUGGCUGUUCGCCAUUUAAAGUGGUACGCGAGCUGGGUUUAGAACGUCGUGAGACAGUUCGGUCCCUAUCUGCCGUGGGCGCUGGAGAACUGAGGGGGGCUGCUCCUAGUACGAGAGGACCGGAGUGGACGCAUCACUGGUGUUCGGGUUGUCAUGCCAAUGGCACUGCCCGGUAGCUAAAUGCGGAAGAGAUAAGUGCUGAAAGCAUCUAAGCACGAAACUUGCCCCGAGAUGAGUUCUCCCUGACUCCUUGAGAGUCCUGAAGGAACGUUGAAGACGACGACGUUGAUAGGCCGGGUGUGUAAGCGCAGCGAUGCGUUGAGCUAACCGGUACUAAUGAACCGUGAGGCUUAACCUUACAACGCCGAAGGUGUUU
rnacentral:rRNA from 1 species